UGAAGGCGUAGCUCAGUCGGUAGAGCAACGGACUUUUAAUCCGUAGGUCCUGGGUUCGAGUCCCAGCGCCUUCAU
rnacentral:tRNA from 1 species